rnacentral:sRNA from 1 species
UGACCAGGUUUUCUUCCUGUUUUGGUUGU